rnacentral:lncRNA from 1 species
AGCUAGCACCCUGAGCAGUGGAAAAGAGAGAUAACUCUCACCUCGUUCAAAACUCCUUCUGUUUGAUGUCAUAUGUUAUGGAAUGUCCAGUUUAGGUCAGCUGUCCUAAUUCCAUACCCUCGCAACUCCUUGGGCCCUUCGCUAAGAAUGGCCUCCACUCUGUAAAACACUGCUUAGCAGCAACUAUAGAAAUUGGUGUGUUAUCAACAUUGUUUGUAUCCUAGAACCUAAAAACAGCAUCAUAUCAGACACUCUAAAGAAAGCAAUUCCAUCCCAGCUGAAACUAAGACACCGUCAUGGCUGGUUUUAGAAGACUCCCCUUCUGAUCAUCUUUCCAGUGGUCAGCAGCUUUCUGUGAGUGAAUUGGGUGAUAAAGGAUUGCAUGUUUCAACAAAUGAACAUGAAGUGCUGACUCCUUGAAUUCAUCACAUCUUCCAUGAAGAACAUUCUCCUCUCAUGCAGCAGAGCUCCUUCCAAGAGUGUUGAAGGCGCAGGUCCCAGCCAACUUAAUUUAGGUAUUAAG